rnacentral:rRNA from 1 species
GUGCACCAGUCGCGAAACCUUCGCAAUGCGGGAAACCGCGACGAGGGGACUCCCAGUGCCUACGCUCAGCGUAGGCUGUUCCCGAGCCUAGAAAGCUCGGGGAGUAAGGGCUGGGUAAGACGGGUGCCAGCCGCCGCGGUAAUACCGCAGCCCGAGUGGUGGCCACUAUUAUUGGGCCUAAAGCGUCCGUAGCCGGCCCGGUAAAUGCCUGGGUAAAUCGUGAGGCCUAACCUCACGAAUUCCGGGUAGACUGCCGGGCUAGGGACCGGAGGAGGGAGAGGGUACUCCAGGGGUAGGGGUGAAAUCCUGUAAUCCCUGGAGGACCACCGGUGGCGAAGGCGCUCUCCUAGGACGGGUCCGACGGUGAGGGACGAAAGCCAGGGGAGCGAACCGGAUUAGAUACCCGUGUAGU